rnacentral:rRNA from 1 species
GUGAGUCAUCGAAUCUUUGAACGCACCUUGCGCUCCUUGGUAUUCCGAGGAGCAUGCCUGUUUGAGUGUCAUUAAUAUAUAUCAACCUCUUCAGGUUUUUACUUGUCGAGUGUUUGGAUGUGGGGGUCUUUUUGCUGGUCUCUUUUGAGGUCGGCUCCCCUAAAAUGCAUUAGCAGAACAAUUUGUUGACCCGUUCAUUGGUGUGAUAACUAUCUACGCUUUUGACGUGAAACAGGGUUCAGCUCUAACAGUCCAUUGACUUGGACAAUUUUCAUUAAUGUGACCUCAAAUCAGGUAGGACUACCCGCUGAACUUAAGCAUAUCAAUAAGCGGAGG